rnacentral:misc_RNA from 1 species
GGUGGUGUGCCAAGUACAUGCAAGUGGAGCGGCCGUAGCAAUACGGCAGUGGCAGAGGGGAGAGUAACACCGUGGGAACGUACCUUUUGGUUCGGAAUAACCCGAGGAAACUUGGGCUAAUACCGGAUGGGUCCCCGAGCAGUCGGGGGGAAAGAUUGAUCGCCAAAGGAUCGGCCCGCGUCUGAUUAGCUAGUUGGUGGGGUAAUGUCUCACCAAGGGGGGGGAAGCGUAGCAGACGUGAGAGGGUGAACGGCCACACUGNGAUUUUUUCUCGGCCCAGGAACAUACGGGAGGCAUCUCUUCUGAUCGGGAGAAAAAUCUCGCC